GUUUGGGGAAGCCAUCUCUGCAAAAUUCCUGGAGAAGUGGCCCACUGUCUACAAGCAGAAAGUCCUCGAACAAAGCCGUGGUCUCACACAGUCUGAUGACCUUGAGAACCUUCUUCACAAUGCUGAAGGCACAACAGAGGUGCAAAAUGGAUGGGACAGUGACAUGUCAUCCAUUCUGAUUCUUGUGCACCUCCUGCCACCGUCACCUCAUGGCCGGAAGAGACCAGGAAAACUCUCAGCCAGAGCAGCCAUUGAACAUCUUGUGAAGUUUGUCAAGACAGGAACCAGCAUCCAGGGGCACCUUGAUGGCAUCGCAGAAAGGCGUCAACCUUACCUGCUUGCAGUAGGGACUCAGAGGGGCGUUAUUCACAAGUACUUCAUUGUGAUUGACAAACAUGCCAUACCUUGUAAAUCACCAGGCCCUCUAGCCUGUUUUGAUGAGCUUUUUAAAGCUCACUUUGUGUUCGGCACUUCAUAUGACCAUGAUCUGGUCAAUGUGUACAAUUUUCUGCAGACCGCCAUUUAUGAGAUAGAUGUUGAGACAACCAAAGUAAAUCCUAGGGUUGCAGAGUUGAGGGCUCGGAUGCUGCGUUAAAUAGUUGUUUUGCUAUGAUUGUUUCAGUAUUAAGUUGAGUUGGAAUGUUCUGCUUCAUUUGUAAGAAGUACCAGACAAAUGCUAAUUCUCUGACCAAGCACUUAAAAUUGAUCCACGGACUUUGC